rnacentral:rRNA from 1 species
AUGUUGAAAAAUUAGCGGAUGACUUGUGGCUGGGGGUGAAAGGCCAAUCAAACCGGGAGAUAGCUGGUUCUCCCCGAAAGCUAUUUAGGUAGCGCCUCGUGAAUUCAUCUCCGGGGGUAGAGCACUGUUUCGGCAAGGGGGUCAUCCCGACUUACCAACCCGAUGCAAACUGCGAAUACCGGAGAAUGUUAUCACGGGAGACACACGGCGGGUGCUAACGUCCGUCGUGAAGAGGGAAACAACCCAGACCGCCAGCUAAGGUCCCAAAGUCAUGGUUAAGUGGGAAACGAUGUGGGAAGGCCCAGACAGCCAGGAUGUUGGCUUAGAAGCAGCCAUCAUUUAAAGAAAGCGUAAUAGCUCACUGGUCGAGUCGGCCUGCGCGGAAGAUGUAACGGGGCUAAACCAUGCACCGAAGCUGCGGCAGCGACACUAUGUGUUGUUGGGUAGGGGAGCGUUCUGUAAGCCUGUGAAGGUGUACUGUGAGGUAUGCUGGAGGUAUCAGAAGUGCGAAUGCUGACAUAAGUAACGAUAAAGCGGGUGAAAAGCCCGCUCGCCGGAAGACCAAGGGUUCCUAUCCAACGUUAAUCGGGGCAGGGUGAGUCGACCCCUAAGGCGCGGCCGAAAGGCGUAGUCGAUGGGAAACAGGUUAAUCUUCCUGUACUUGGUGUUACUGCGAAGGGGGGACGGAGAAGGCUAUGUUGGCCGGGCGACGGUUGUCCCGGUUUAAGCGUGUAGGCUGGUUUUCCAGGCAAAUCCGGAAAAUCAAGGCUGAGGCGUGAU